GAACAUAAGAGUUUGAUCCUGGCUCAGAUUGAACGCUGGCGGCAUGCUUUACACAUGCAAGUCGGACGGCAGCACAGAGAAGCUUGCUUCUCGGGUGGCGAGUGGCGAACGGGUGAGUAACAUAUCGGAACGUACCGAGUAGUGGGGGAUAACUGAUCGAAAGAUCAGCUAAUACCGCAUACGUCUUGAGAGAGAAAGCAGGGGACUUUCGGGCCUUGCGCUAUUCGAGCGGCCGAUAUCUGAUUAGCUAGUUGGUGGGGUAAAGGCCUACCAAGGCGACGAUCAGUAGCGGGUCUGAGAGGAUGAUCCGCCACACUGGGACUGAGA
rnacentral:rRNA from 1 species